rnacentral:rRNA from 1 species
UACGUAGGGACCAAGCGUUGUCCGGAAUCAUUGGGCGUAAAGAGCUCGUAGGCGGCUUGUCGCGUCGUCCGUGAAAACCCACGGCUUAACUGUGGGCUUGCGGUCGAUACGGGCAGGCUGGAGUUCGGUAGGGGAGACUGGAAUUCCUGGUGUAGCGGUGAAAUGCGCAGAUAUCAGGAGGAACACCGGGUGGCGAAGGCGGGUCUCUGGGCCGAUACUGACGCUGAGGAGCGAAAGCGUGGGGAGCGAACAGG